CGCUCCUUGGCUGGGAGCAUGCCGACUCUGCUUGCUGCUGGAGCUGCUCGGCGCCACCGCAGGCUUGCUGCUGAAGCGAUCACCAACAUGUCAUGAGUUCAGAUUGGACAGCUGUAAAGCUUAGGGUCAAGGGGUGAAGUGGACCUGAUGGCAAACAUGUGGAUCACGGGCAUGGGCGUGAACAACACUUUGGGCGAGGGCUCACUAAGAUGGAUGUUCUUUCUGUUCCAACCGGCACCUUCCAGAUACACCUGCUGUUAUUGCUCCUCACAGGUAUGACUGCCGGACAAAAAGUGGCAAGAAACUCACCGUAGGUGGGCCAGUGAUUUCAUCCCUUGCCUUUUUCAAAACU